UACAGAGGCCUCAAGCGUUAUCCGGAAUCACUGGGCGUAAAGGGUGCGUAGGUGGCGAUAUUAGUCGUGUGUCAAAGCUCCCCGCACAACGGGGAAAAGGCAUGCGAAACGGUAUCGCUUGAAUCUGUGAGAGGUGUGCGGAACUCUAGGUGUAGGGGUGAAAUCCGUUGAUAUCUAGGGGAACACCGAAUGCGAAGGCAGCACACUGGCACACGAUUGACACUCAAGCACGAAAGCGUGGGUCGCGAAUGGG
rnacentral:rRNA from 1 species